CUCCCGAUCUAUAACAUCUAUAUCACAAACUUGUUUUAAAUGGUAUGAAUAAUCUACAAGAGUCUCUUAGAUGCCUUACUGACCAGCCCCUUCUAUCCUCAGUUUCUAACCCAGAACCUGGAACACUAGAGAAGGUUUCAGUAAACAGCGCCACUAUUAUAUUACACUCCACUUCCCUGUGGGCAGUUUAUCUGUCCAUCUCAAGGAUCCAGAACACCACUAAGAACUAACAACCAAAACAAAUGUCGG